AAUGAACGCUGGCGGCAUGCCUUACACAUGCAAGUCGAACGGCAGCAUGACCUAGCUUGCUAGGUUGAUGGCGAGUGGCGAACGGGUGAGUAAUGCAUCGGAACGUGCCUUUUAGUGGGGGAUAACGUAGCGAAAGUUACGCUAAUACCGCAUAUUCUCUGAGGAGGAAAGCAGGGGGCCUUCGGGCCUUGCGCUAGAAGAGCGGCCGAUGUCGGAUUAGCUAGUUGGUGAGGUAAAGGCUCACCAAGGCAACGAUCCGUAGCGGGUCUGAGAGGAUGGUCCGCCACACUGGGACUUAGACACGGCCCAGACUCCUAAGGGAGGCAGCAGUGGGGAAUUUUGGACAAUGGGCGCAAGCCUGAUCCAGCCAUGCCGCGUGAGUGAAGAAGGCCUUCGGGUUGUAAAGCUCUUUCGGCUGGGAAGAAAUCGCACUCUCUAAUACAGGGUGUGGAUGACGGUACCAGCAUAAGAAGCACCGGCUAACUACGUG
rnacentral:rRNA from 1 species